rnacentral:rRNA from 1 species
UGGGGAAUAUUGGACAAUGGACGAAAGUCUGAUCCAGCAACGCCGCGUGGUGGAUGAAGGCCUUAGGGUUGUAAACACCUUUUAUUAGGGAAGAUAAUGACGGUACCUAAUGAAUAAGCAUCGGCUAACUUCGUGCCAGCAGCCGCGGUAAUACGAAGGAUGCUAGCGUUACUCGGAAUUACUGGGCGUAAAGAAUAUGUAGGCUGAUUAUUAAGUUGAUAGUGAAAUCCCCGAGCCUAACUCGGGAACUGCUCUCAAAACUGAUAGUCUAGAAUAUGGUAGAGAGUAAGGGAAUUCUUGGUGUAGGGGUAAAAUCCGUAGAUAUCAGGAGGAAGACCGGAAGCGAAAGCGCUUACUUGGGCCAUUAUUGACGCUGAGAUAUGAAAGCGUGGGGAUCGAACAGG